GAUGAACGCUGGCGGCGUGCCUAAUACAUGCAAGUCGAACGAAACCAUCGGAGCUUGCUCUGAGAAGUUUAGUGGCGGACGGGUGAGUAACGCGUGAGCAACCUGGCCUUCGGAGGGGGACAACAGUUGGAAACGACUGCUAAUACCGCAUAACAUACUGUAGUGGCAUCACUGUGGUAUCAAAGAUUUAUCGCCGAAGGAUGGGCUCGCGUCUGAUUAGCUGGUUGGUGGGGUAACGGCCUACCAAGGCGACGAUCAGUAGCCGGACUGAGAGGUUGACCGGCCACAUUGGGACUGAGAUACGGCCCAGACUCCUACGGGAGGCAGCAGUAGGGAAUAUUGGGCAAUGGGGGCAACCCUGACCCAGCAACGCCGCGUGAAGGAAGAAGGCAUUCGUGUUGUAAACUUCUUUGACGAGGGAUGAAAAUGACAGUACCUCGAAAACAAGCCACGGCUAACUACGUGCCAGCAGCCGCGGUAAUACGUAGGUGGCGAGCGUUAUCCGGAAUUACUGGGUGUUAAGGGCGUGUAAGCGGGCUUUUAAGUCUGACGUGAAAUCUANGGGCUUAACCCUAAACUGCGUUGGAAACUUGAAGUCUUGAAUUNA
rnacentral:rRNA from 1 species